CAUGUGCUUUGGUAGGCAAUGAAAAAUGUGUCCGUUCAUUUGUGGUUCCUCGUUUCCCAGGGGAGGGUGCUUGGAGCUCUAUAAAAAGGCCCUGUGUCUCUGAGCUCUUCACUCAUUGACUUGCAUCUCCACCGAGCGCACAAGUUCUGACUGCUGCACAAGCUUCACUACCUCAAAAUGGCCAAUGGGGAAUGUCAGUCUUCCUGCUGUUCCAAGUGUGGCUGCUCCCCCUGUCGCUGCCAGAAGAGUGGUUGGUGUCCCACGUGUGGCCGUUUCCCCUGCUGCUGUGACAGGGUUACCUGCUGUUCCAAGUGUGGCCGUUCCCCCUGCUGCUGCCGCAGGGUUACCUGCUGUACCCGCUGUGGCUGCUGUCCCUGCUCCUGCCGCAGGGGGAUCUAAUGUUCCUGCUGCUGCUGCUCCAUCGUUCAUUGCUGCUCCCCCUGUGGGUGCUCCCCCUGUGGGUGCUCCCCCUGUGGGUGCUCCCCCUGUGGGUGCUCCCCCUGCUGCUGUGACCAGUCAUGCUCCUCUUGCUAUCAGUUCAAGUGCUGAGCAUGUUAGAAAUUGCUAAUGAGUCUCUGGAUGUAAAUAACAGCAUGCCGGUGCAGCACCUGGAAACAAAAUCCUUCCUGCUCGUUGCCACCUCAACACCCGGAAUAUCAAGAUUAAUGUCAAUGCACACACAUAUAUUUAAACACCCACUGAUUGCAUUCUUGCGCUGAUGUGGCUGAGUUAGAUGCCACUUCUUCCUGCCUCCUUCAUGACAUUGGAGAUUCUUCUCUUCCAUCGCACUUGAAUAUCCUAGUAAUGGAGUCUUGGUUUGUGCAUGGCAUUUAUUGUGCUCCUAUUUUCCCUGUGGUGUUUGGGAUGUGAUUGUCUCUUCCUAGUUCUGUAUUAACUUUCCCAAUUAAAUUCUGGAAUCAUG